rnacentral:tRNA from 1 species
GGCGGCAUAGCCAAGUGGUUAAGGCAACGGUCUGCAAAAUCGUCACCCCCAGUUCGACUCUGGGUGCCGCCUCCA